GUGUAUAAAAGUAGCCAGUAUGCUUGUGAAGAGAACAACAAGGAGUUCUGGAUAUAAACCUGAUUACACUGGGUUUGAAAUCCCUGAUAUUUUCAUCGUGGGGUAUGCCUUAGACUACAACGAAUACUUCAGAGAUCUUAAUCAUGUUUGUG